ensembl:lncRNA
UGCAGAAAGCGGCAGGCUAGAGCAUGAGGCUAGUGUGGAGGGGAAGACCACAGUUCCAAGGAGGAAGAGGAUCCCCACCACAGUGAGUGAUCGGUGGACACUGAAACGGAAGGAUGACUGGGAGGAUGAGCUGCGAUGGAAGCCAUGUAUGACGAUCUCUGGGUCCAUCCAUGUUGCUGCAAAUGGCAUGAUUUCGUUCUUUUUUAUGGCUGAGUACACAUAGCUGAUUCUAAGAAGAUGAUGGUCAGUGGUGGUUUGAUGGAUGGUGCAUAGAUAACCUCUUGGAGACCCAUCCACUGUCCACCUCACCACCAGCAGGUGAACCCUGUGCGUCCUCUUGCUCUUUCAGAGACUCUUAAGUCAGGUUGCUGCUGCUGCUGCUGCUGCUGCUAAGUCACUUCAGUCGUGUCCGACUCUGUGCGACCCCAUAGACCGCAACCUACCAGGCUCCCCCGUCCCUGGGAUUUUCCAGGCAAGAACACUGGAGUGGGUUGCCAUUUCCCUCUCCAGUGCAUGAAAGUGAAAAGUGAAAGCGAAGCCGCUCAGUCGUGUCCAACCCUCAGCAACCCCAUGGACUGCAGCCUUCCGGGCUCCUAUUGAGCAGGUGAAUUUUUGGAAACAGUUCAUAUGGAAGACGAGGAUCUGGAAAUGAGUUCCCUUGAAACCAUCUGUACAGACAUGGCCCGUGGAACAUCCUUCUGUCCUCUCCCUGUUUGGAAGCUUCCACCCAGAGGUUCAGGGCCCAGGAGCUCUGUCUGAGAGAGCGCUAAGGGCAGAGGGUUUUCUUGGACCUGUUUUGUGUGCAAAGCACGUAUAAGUCAAAGCCUUUUUCCGCAAGUGAGGUUGGUUAAGCAGAGAAAAGACAGCGAGGUGUUUUGUUUGUCUGGAAUCCUAUGGGCUUGGAGGCACAAUCUGGUGUACAGCAGGCCAGAGGGUCUGGAGUUAGCUGUGAUAUCAGAUAGGAUGAAGUUUCUUUGCACUAACAGUGUCAGGAGCUGGAACUGGAGUUACAAGUCUAGUUUAAAGAGCUAUCCAAAGGUUUCCAUUUCUACUGGCUUGAGGGCAAAAGAGGUUGUUGGGGGGCUUGCCUUUGGCCUCUGAGCCCAAGGGAUUCCAAAUGAAUGCUCUGCAAAGGUAAGCCUGUAUCAUUCAGCUUUGUGCAUUCAUCCCCAUAGCUUGUGCAAGGCAGACAGUGUUCAAUAAAGAAAUAUUGUACCUGAGAAUAAAAUGGCAUUGUCCUUU